rnacentral:rRNA from 1 species
AGUGAACGCUGGCGGUAGGCCUAACACAUGCAAGUCGAACGGCAGCACAGGAGAGCUUGCUCUCUGGGUGGCGAGUGGCGGACGGGUGAGGAAUACAUCGGAAUCUACUCUGUCGUGGGGGAUAACGUAGGGAAACUUACGCUAAUACCGCAUACGACCUACGGGUGAAAGCAGGGGAUCUUCGGACCUUGCGCGAUUGAAUGAGCCGAUGUCGGAUUAGCUAGUUGGCGGGGUAAAGGCCCGCCAAGGCGACGAUCCGUAGCUGGUCUGAGAGGAUGAUCAGCCACACUGGAACUGAGACACGGUCCAGACUCCUACGGGAGGCAGCAGUGGGGAAUAUUGGAAAAUGGGCGCAAGCCUGAUCCAGCCAUACCGCGUGGGUGAAGAAGGCCUUCGGGUUGUAAAGCCCUUUUGUUGGGAAAGAAAUCCAGCUGGCUAAUACCCGGUUGGGAUGACGGUACCCAAAGAAUAAGCACCGGCUAACUUCGUGCCAGCCGCCGCCGUAA